CAGGAGGGUGCACUGUGCUACUUCCUUAAUGGUCUCUACUGGUUGCAGCUGGCACUGCUGAAGGAACUCUCCAAUGUGCUCCUGCGGGAUGGGCUGGAUGUGCUGGUGCAGCAGCUCAGUGGCUCCAGGACAAGCCAGACCUCCAGGAGAAAGCCAGCAGCUCUGCAUGUCACUGAGCACAGUGGUCCUUCUGCUGGUGGUUCUGAACCUGAGUAUCAGUCCCUAGGAGACCCUCCUGAACCCUUGGAGAAAACACCUGAGGAAGGAAGGAAUCAGAGAGACUCAAAAGGGACAAACACUUCUCUCAACAGUAGCUUGGCUGCUCCCCCAUCACACCCAGAAGAUGAUCUACAAGGAAAUCAGUCCAUGGAGCUUCAGGAGUCCUUGGAGGACAGGGUGGAAGGACAAGCACAGCAGGACACCAGCAGUG
rnacentral:lncRNA from 14 species